AUGGGGCUUCUUGACCAGCUGUGGGACGACACAGUGGCCGGGCCGCGGCCGGACCACGGCCUCGGCAGGCUCCGCAAGUACGCCUCCUUCUCCCCGUCCUCCGCGGCGGCCGGUACGACCGCCGCUGCCGUGCCGUCGGCCGACGUGGCGGCGCCGGCGGUGACGCGGAGCAUCACCAUCCUCCGCCCGCCGGCCCUGUCCGUGACGUCGCCGCGCAGCGAGUCCGGCUCCGGCUCCGCGCCCUCGUCCCCGGCCAGCGUCCCCGACUCCCCCUUCGGCACAGCAACGACGCCCAGGGGAGAGAGUGGCUGGAGCAAGCUGCGCCGCAAAGGCAGGAUGGCCGCCGACGGCAUAGAGGCUAGCCCGGGCACCCCCAGGAGCCCCACCGUCUACGACUGGUGCGUUGGCUUCAAAGUUCAAACCGAAUAUCCCCUCCUGUUUUAA
rnacentral:rRNA from 1 species